CCGCCGCAACAUCUACCUCCAAAACCAAACCUUUGUCAAAAUUCCUCUUCCACUGCCAUCUCUGAAUUUGAUCCCGUAUGCCUCCCCAUGACCUCCGCCAUCACCACCGCCCACACGGUGGUGCUCCGCCGCAACAUCUACCUCCAAAACCAAAUCAAGAAGUCCUUUCCAUGAUCCUCAAAGUUAUUAUAAUGACUGCCAUAACCGCCCUUUUCUUUUUGUUCCUUGGAGUCGCAGCCAUCCUUCUCCUUC
rnacentral:misc_RNA from 1 species